UGGAAGGGGAGCUCGCUGAAGUGGGCUGAGAGUAAGCUAUUUAGCUUAGACCCAUAACCUGAUUUGGAUAAUGCCAACGUAGGGAUAGUUA
rnacentral:ncRNA from 1 species